rnacentral:rRNA from 1 species
CCCUCAAGAUGAGAUUUCCCAACUUCGGUUAUAAGAUCCCUCAAAGAUGAUGAGGUUAAUAGGUUCGGGGUGGAAGCAUAGCGAUAUGUGGAGCUGACGAAUACUAAUCGAUCGAAGACUUAAUCAAUUU